AUGAGGACAGAGCCAGUGCAUUGGGCUAGGGCCUUUUUCCAUGGAUCAAACUGUGAGUCAUUGGAUAACAAUUUAUGUGAGUCUUUCAACAAUGCCAUCAUAGAAUCAAGGUUUUACCCCAUAAUAUCACAACAAGAGAUGAUAAGGAAGAAGAUGUAUGUCUGAAUCCAGGAAUAGAGAAGCAAAAGUGAUAAAUGGCAUGGAACAAUUUGCCCUAACAUUUUUAAGAAACUACAUGGCAAUAUCUAG
rnacentral:rRNA from 1 species